AAGCACAAAGCCACCUAGAGCACAUCCUGCUUGUCCUUUGGGGCAUCUCUGUCAUGUGCUUAUAGUCACUCCUCUCCAUCUAUGUUAUACUGAUCUUACUCCAAGCCUCUUUCAUGUUGCGCUUUGUAAUGAAUUUCCAACUGCUCAACCUUUCUGAUGGACAAACCGCCCCUCAUAUCUUCCAAGAGAGACGACUGAGACAUGAACUGGAGGAGGGGAGAGACGACUAGGUGGGUGAAGUGCAUAGCUGGAGACUCAGAGCAGGAAAAGCAACUUUGCUACCAAACACUCGGGAGAAAAAGGCUAUCAGAUAGAAGCGGGUGAAGAAGCUGAGAAAACAGAAGAGAAGGGUGGCUGCCAGCUCGGGACUCAAAAUGGCCAUCUGGGCGUAGAGACACAGAGACCCUUUGCGCAGACGUGCGCCGAGGGUCUUGCAAAGCUUUCGUUUUCUUUGUGUGCCGACCUGCCCCUAGAAGCGGUUUUCGAUGCUAUUUUAAAUGAUAUUCCUAAAAUUUCCGAAUUGCUUGUUGCUUAUAUAUAGAAAUACACUGGAUCUUUGUAUACUGACUUGGGAUUCAGCUCCAUGCUAAAUUUUGAAUUAAUUCUAAUGGUUUAUUUGUAGUUAGUUAUC
rnacentral:lncRNA from 1 species